CAGCCGCCGCGGUAAUACGGAGGGUGCAAGCGUUAAUCGGAAUUACUGGGCGUAAAGCGCACGCAGGCGGUCUGACAAGUCAGAUGUGAAAUCCCCGGGCUUAACCUGGGAACUGCAUUUGAAACUGUCAGGCUGGAGUCUUGUAGAGGGGGGUGGAAUUCCAGGUGUAGCGGUGAAAUGCGUAGAGAUCUGGAGGAAUACCGGUGGCGAAGGCGGCCCCCUGGACAAAGACUGACGCUCAGGUGCGAAAGCGUGGGGAGCAAACAGGAUUAGAUACCCGGGUAGUCCCUGUCUCUUAUAA
rnacentral:rRNA from 1 species